rnacentral:lncRNA from 1 species
GUCUCGCUGUUGGAGCAGCUCCUGGUACCGGAUAACGCCGUUAUUCAGCAGCUGCGGCAGCUGGCGGCCAUCUUGUUGCGCCGCCGCCUCUCGGCUUCAAGAUGGCGGCGCCUCGACCCGGAAGUGAAGCUCAGGUGGGCGGGGCUUAAACCGAGCCACGUGAUUGGCUCAUCCAUAUAAGUAUGUCCUAUAAUGGGGUGGUGGUUUGUUAGGGGCGGAAGCUUGAUAUGGGGCCUUGUGAUUGGGCUGAA